CCUACGGGGGGCUGCAGUAGGGAAUUUUCCACAAUGGACGAAAGUCUGAUGGAGCAACGCCGCGUGUGUGAUGAAGGGUUUCGGCUCGUAAAACACUGUUGUAAGAGAAGAAUGACAUUGAGAGUAACUGUUCAGUGUGUGACGGUAUCUUACCAGAAAGGAACGGCUAAAUACGUGCCAGCAGCCGCGGUAAUACGUAUGUUCCAAGCGUUAUCCGGAUUUAGUGGGCGUAAAGCGAGCGCAGACGGUGAUUUACGUCCGAAGUGAACUCCCACAGCGUAACGUGGGAAUUGCUUUCGAAACUGGAUAACUUGAGUGCAGUAGAGGAGAGUGGAACUCCAUGUGUAGCGGUGAAAUGCGUAGAUAUAUGGAAGAACACCAGUGGCGAAGGCGGCUCUCUGGACUGUAACUGACGUUGAGGCUCGAAAGUGUGUGUAGCAAACAGGAUUAGAUACCCGUGUAGUC
rnacentral:rRNA from 1 species